rnacentral:ncRNA from 1 species
GUGAUGGGGAUUGCGAUCUCCCCACGAGGCGACAGGCCGAAGCAUCGCGUCCGCACAGACUGCCUCUUUUCAACGUGCAAGGACGCGCGAUG